rnacentral:lncRNA from 10 species
AAAAACUGUAAAGGAGGAUGUGGCUGUAGGGGCUGGUAGUCCUCAUGAGUUUGACUGCUCUUCUUUCCCACAGCUAAAAGAAUAUCAGCAGAGGAACAGCCCUGGUGUUCCGGCAGGAGUGAAGACAAAAAAGAAAAAUACUGGCAGUAGCCCUGAGACAACCACUUCUGGUGGUUGCCACUCACCUGGGGAUAGCCGGUACCAAGAACUGGAAGUAGCCCUGGACUCAAGCUCCGCAACAAUCAAUCAACUAAAUGAAAACAUAGAAUCAUUGAAACAACAGAAGAAACAAGUGGAACAUCAGCUGGAAGAAGAAAAGAAAGCAAACAAUGACAUACACAAAGCACAGACGGAGCAGUUAGAGGUGAGUGGAGGGUGGGGAGUUUUCUCCUGUCCUCCGGAGAAUGUUUCUUUCCGUCUCUUUCAGCACUUGCUUGGCUUUUCUCCCAAACGUUCAAUUCCAGACAAUCCACAUCCUCACAUUGGAAAAGGCAGACUUGAAGACCACCCUUUACCAUACUAAACGUGCCGCCAGACACUUCGAAGGUGGGAAUCUGGGCACCCCGUCAUCCUUCACCCUGGCACUUUGACACUGGCACUUUAGGGGGACUCCUUUGGGCCCCAUCUCAACCUCUCUCAUUACAGAAGAGUCCAAGGAUCUGGCCGGCCGCCUGCAAUGCUCCUUACAGCGUAUUCAAGAAUUGGAGCGGGCUCUCUCUGCUGUGUGUACACAGCAGCGGGAAGAGGACAGGGUGAGUCCAACCAGCUGCCCCAUCCCCUGGCAGCCUGGCUUCCCAGAUGCAGGAGUGAGCCUAAAGGUCCCUUCUGCAGGAUGCAGUGUCCUGCCCAGAAGGCAGCAUGCUCAUUUCUUGCUGCUUUUGUGUGUGGUUGUUAGAGGCAGCCUGGGGCUG